UCCGGCGUGGCCCUGGUGAACAUCGGUCCAGCAGGGUCCAGACCUGGAGAAGAGGAAGGAAAGAAGGGAGGAAGGAAAGAAGCAAGGAGGUUUGCUCCCACAAAACCAGCCAGGUGAGCUCCCAGACUGACACCGAUCAGGUGAACUGAGCUCAGAGAGGCUCCUUCAGCCUGUGGGCACAAAAGCUCAGCGUUACAGAGCACAAGGAGCCCCAGCAGAGCCAGGAGCUUGCGGGACAGCAUCCUUCUCAUGACCACAGUGACGCAGAGACAACGAUCAAG